rnacentral:lncRNA from 1 species
AGUGGGAUCACUUUUUAAGAAUCCAACAGCAAAGGUGGGAGAUGGGCAGUUAGAGACCUCGAUGGCCAAAGUCAGUGAAUUUGCGUAUCCAAGGAUUUCUAGAUUUGCUUUAUUUCCUGCUAAGGCUGAAAGAAAAGGGAGACCCAUAUCCAAACUGAGAGCUGCAUAAUUUGGGCUCCUAGAUUAAAUUUAUUUUUAGGUAGUUGAGUUUCUCUACAAAGAGAGUGGAUAGUGAAGGGGAGGAGGCAAAAUGAGCACAUGAAGAGCCUUGAGGCUUACACUGUAUAUGGUCGAUCAGACUAAAUGGAGACACUGAAAGCAGCAAGCCACUUUUUGUCCUCUUCAAAACUACAGAGCAACACAUUCGAAUCUACAGAGAAGAACCUUCCACGAUCCUCUUCUGCUUGAGAAGGAUAUCCAACAUCCAAACUUCACCUACAAAUAGCAUGAUCAACAGAGGUUGGCACCAGGUGUUUCAGAAGAAACUGUAAAAAGGCUUCUAGAAAAAUGCUACCAAACCUUUGAUGAGCAGAUGCACGUAAGAGAAAUAAUUCUGGUUUUACCCAAAAUCUUUGUAACUCACGGAUAGUGCCUGUGAAGUACCUGAAGGCUGCUGUCAGGACAGAACCUUUCAUACAAGCAUUGAAGCUCCUUGGGAAAUGAAAUGUCCAGGUUGUAAAGUAUGAAGUGUAGUCUGCCGAAG